UACGUAGGGGGCAAGCGUUGUCCGGAUUUAUUGGGCGUAAAAAGCGUGUAGGCGGCCUGACAGGUCUGCUGUGAAAACUCGAGGCUCAACCUCGAGAUGUCGGCGGAAACCGUCUGGCUAGAGUCCGGAAGAGGAGAGUGGAAUUCCUGGUGUAGCGGUGAAAUGCGCAGAUAUCAGGAAGAACACCUAUGGCGAAGGCAGCUCUCUGGGACGGUACUGACGCUGAGACGCGAAAGCGUGGGGAGCGAACAGG
rnacentral:rRNA from 1 species